CUGGGAUGCACGGAGGCAGGUGCGGGAGUAGUGGGUCCGCUUCCUGAACCAGUCUCCAGGAAUCACUGACAUUCAAGGAUAUGGCUGUGGACUUCACCCAGGAGGAAUGGGGGCAGCUGGAUCUUGCACAGAGGGGCCUGUACAGGGAUGUGAUGCUAGAGAAUUAUGGAAACCUGGCUGCACGGGACUUGAAGAAAGACUUGA